ensembl:lncRNA
GUUUCCCUAAAAUGGCCUCAAACUCCCCAAAAUUCCCCAAAUUUCCCCGAAAUUCCCACAGAAUUCCCCAAAAUGUCCCCAAAAUUCCCCAAAUUUCCCCCAAAUUCCCACAGAAUUCCCCAAAACGUCACUGAAAUUUCCGAAAUUCCCCCCAAAUUCCCACAGAAUUCCCCAAAUUUCCCCCAAAUUCUGCCCGAAUUCCCCAAAACGUCCCAAAAUCCCCCAAAAUUCCCGGAAUUCCCCAAAUUCCGCCGUUUUCACGCGCGUUUUUUUAUUGGAAAGAGCGAAAUUCCCGUAAAAAUUUGCAUGCGGGGGGCGGGGCCUGCGCGGGGGGCGGGGCUUAAAGAAAGGGGGCGUGGCCUCAUCCAGGGUGCUGUGGGGGCGUGGCCUGAGCAGAAAGGGGCGGAGUUUGAUUGGGCGGGGCAGAAAGGGGCGGGGUUUGAUUGGGCGGGGCAGAAAGGGGCGGAGUUUGAUUGGGCGGGGCAGAAAGGGGCGGGGCUUGGUUGGGCGGCGGUUGAUUGGGUGGGGCAGAAAGGGGCGGGAUUUGAUUGGGUGGGGCAGAAAGGGGCGGGGUUUGAUUGGGUGGGGCAGAAAGGGGCGGGGCUUGGCCAAGGGGGCGUGGCCGGGGGGGCUCCCGAUGAUCCCAGCCCCCCCCACCCGCCCGGGGUCAUGGGGAAGGGGAAACUGAGGCACGCUGGGCCAAACUGGGCCAAACUGGGCCAAGGAAACUGGGACAAACUGGGCCAAACUGGGCCAAACUGGGCCAGGGAAACUGGGACAAACUGGGCCAAACUGGGACAAACUGGGCCAGAGAAAUUGGGACAAACAGGGCCAAACUGGGACAAACUGGGCCAGGGAAACUGGGACAAACUGGGCCAGAGAAAUUGGGACAAACGGGGACAAACUGGGCCAGGGAAACUGGGACAAACUGGGCCAGGGAAUUUGGGACAAACUGGGCCAAACUGGGCCAGGGAAUUUGGGACAAACUGGGCCAAACUGGGCCAGGGAACUGGGAGUUACUGGGCCAAACUGGUCCAGGGAAAAUGGGGGAAACUGGUCCCGUAUAAGGCAGGGAACUGGUCUGGACUGGUCCAAACUGGUUCAGGGAAUUACUGCGCCAAACUGGUCCAGGGAACUGGGAGUUAAUGGGCCAAACGGGGACAAACUGGGCCAGGGAAAUUGGGCCAAACAGGUCCAAACUGGUCCAAACUGGUCCAGGGAACUGGGGGACACUGGGCCAAACUGGCCUGGGGAAGUUGGGCCAAACUGGUCCAAACUGGGACAAACUGGGCCAAACUGGUCCGGGGAAAUUGGGGGUUACUGGGCCAAACUGGUCCAGACUGGUCUAGGGAAAUUGGGUCAAACUGGUCCAAACUGGUCCAAACUGGUCCGUACUGGUCCGUACUGGUCCGUACUGGUCCAAACUGGUGGGGGCACCCCGGGGGUCCCAGCCCCCCCCUUUAAGGCACUGGGACCCCCCGGGGGUGGGGGGGGAGGGGCAAAAUGGGGCAAAAAAUGGGGAAAAAGGGGAAAAAAGGGAAAAACGAGAAAAAAAAAAAAAAAAAAAAAAAAAAAAAAAAAAAAAAAAAAAAAAAAAAAAAAAAAAAAAAAAAACAAAAAAAAGAAAAAAAAAACAAAAAAAAAAAAAAAAAGUCAAAAAAUGGGGGAAUGGGAAAAAAAGGGAAAAACGGGGAAAGAAGGGGAAAAAAGGGAAUUUUGGGAUCCCCCAGGGAGGGGAAAUUUGGGCAAUUCCAUCCAAAAAAUGACGAUUUUGGGGCUCCAAAAAAUUGACGAUUUUUGGCACCCGGAUUUUGGGGUCCUGAGGGGGAUUUUGGGGGAUCCCCGUGAAUUUGGGGUGAAUUUUGGGUAAAUCUGAAAAGUGAAUUUUGGGGGAUUUUUGGGGUGAUUUUGGGUGAAUUUUGGGUGAUUUUGGAUGAAUUUUGUGGUGAAUUUGGGAUAAUUUUGGGAUAAUUUCGCGCUGAUUUUGGGAUAAUUUUGGGAUAAUUUCGGGCCGAUUUUGGAUGAAUUUUGGGGUGAAUUGGGGAUAAUUUUGGGAUAAUUUUGGGCUGAUUUUGGGCUGAUUUUGGGGUGAAUUUGUGCUGAUUUCGGGCUGAAUUUGGGGCCGAUUUUGGGGUGUAUUUGGGAA